GAGAUGAGUAUUCUAAGGCGCGUGAAAGAACUCUGGUUAAGGAACUCUGCAAACUAGCACCGUAAGUUCGCGAUAAGGUGUGCCGCAGCAAUGCGGUCUCAGCAAAGAGUCCCUCCCGACUGUUUACCAAAAACACAGCACUUUGCCAACUCGUAAGAGGAAGUAUAAGGUGUGACGCCUGCCCGGUGCUCGAAGGUUAAGAGGAUGCGUCAGUCGCAAGAUGAAGCGUUGAAUUGAAGCCCGAGUAAACGGCGGCCGUAACUAUAACGGUCCUAAGGUAGCGAAAUUCCUUGUCGGUUAAAUACCGACCUGCAUGAAUGGCGUAACGAGAUGGGAGCUGUCUCAACCAGAGAUUCAGUGAAAUUGUAGUGGAGGUGAAAAUUCCUCCUACCCGCGGCAAGACGGAAAGACCCCGUGGACCUUUACUACAACUUAGCACUGCUAAUGGGAAUAUCAUGCGCAGGAUAGGUGGGAGGCUUUGAAGUAAGGGCUUUGGCUCUUAUGGAGAU
rnacentral:rRNA from 1 species